rnacentral:rRNA from 1 species
UUGGGGUGUGACUGCGUACCUUUUGUAUAAUGGGUCAGCGACUUAUAUUCUGUAGCAAGGUUAACCGAAUAGGGGAGCCGGAGGGAAACCGAGUCUUAACCGGGCGUUAAGUUGCAGGGUAUAGACCCGAAACCCGGUGAUCUAGCCAUGGGCAGGUUGAAGGUUGGGUAACACUAACUGGAGGACCGAACCGACUAAUGUUGAAAAAUUAGCGGAUGACCUGUGGCUGGGGGUGAAAGGCCAAUCAAACCGGGAGAUAGCUGGUUCUCCCCGAAAGCUAUUUAGGUAGCGCCUCGUGAAUUCAUCUCCGGGGGUAGAGCACUGUUUCGGCUAGGGGGCCAUCCCGGCUUACCAACCCGAUGCAAACUGCGAAUACCGGAGAAUGUUAUCACGGGAGACACACGGCGGGUGCUAACGUCCGUCGUGAAGAGGGAAACAACCCAGACCGCCAGCUAAGGUCCCAAAGUCAUGGUUAAGUGGGAAACGAUGUGGGAAGGCCCAGACAGCCAGGAUGUUGGCUUAGAAGCAGCCAUCAUUUAAAGAAAGCGUAAUAGCUCACUGGUCGAGUCGGCCUGCGCGGAAGAUGUAACGGGGCUAAACCAUGCACCGAAGCUGCGGCAGCGACGCUGAUGCGUUGUUGGGUAGGGGAGCGUUCUGUAAGCCUGCGAAGGUGUGUCGUGAGGCAUGCUGGAGGUAUCAGAAGUGCGAAUGCUGACAUAAGUAACGAUAAAGCGGGUGAAAAGCCCGCUCGCCGGAAGACCAAGGGUUCCUGUCCAACGUUAAUCGGGGCAGGGUGAGUCGACCCCUAAGGCGAGGCCGAAAGGCGUAGUCGAUGGGAAACGGGUUAAUAUUCCCGUACUUGGUGUUACUGCGAAGGGGGGACGGAGAAGGCUAUGUUGGCCGGGCGACGGUUGUCCCGGUUUAAGCGUGUAGGUGUGUGUUCCAGGUAAAUCCGGUUCACUUUAACACUGAGGCGUGAUGACGAGGCACUACGGUGCUGAAGCAACAAAUGCCCUGCUUCCAGGAAAAGCCUCUAAGCAUCAGGUAACAUCAAAUCGUACCCCAAACCGACACAGGUGGUCAGGUAGAGAAUACCAAGGCGCUUGAGAGAACUCGGGUGAAGGAACUAGGCAAAAUGGUGCCGUAACUUCGGGAGAAGGCACGCUGACACGUAGGUGAAGUGAUUUACUCAUGGAGCUGAAGUCAGUCGAAGAUACCAGCUGGCUGCAACUGUUUAUUAAAAACACAGCACUGUGCAAACACGAAAGUGGACGUAUACGGUGUGACGCCUGCCCGGUGCCGGAAGGUUAAUUGAUGGGGUCAGCGCAAGCGAAGCUCCUGAUCGAAGCCCCGGUAAACGGCGGCCGUAACUAUAACGGUCCUAAGGUAGCGAAAUUCCUUGUCGGGUAAGUUCCGACCUGCACGAAUGGCGUAAUGAUGGCCAGGCUGUCUCCACCCGAGACUCAGUGAAAUUGAACUCGCUGUGAAGAUGCAGUGUACCCGCGGCAAGACGGAAAGACCCCGUGAACCUUUACUAUAGCUUGACACUGAACAUUGAGCCUUGAUGUGUAGGAUAGGUGGGAGGCUUUGAAGUGUGGACGCCAGUCUGCAUGGAGCCGGCCUUGAAAUACCACCCUU